UACCUGAUUGAUUCUGUCAGCGCGAUAUGCUCAAGUAAAAGAUUAAGCCAUGCAUGCUUUGAUUCAUAAAUGAAAUUGCGUACGGCUCAUUAGAGCAGAUAUCACCUUUCUCGGAAUCCUGAAAAGGAUAACUGCGGAAAUUCUGGAGCUAAUACAUGCGACUAUACUCCAACGCAAGGCGGGGUGCAAUUAUUAGAACAGACCAAACGUUUUCGGACGUUGUUUGUUGACUCUGAAUACCGUCGUUUACUGUCAGUUUCGACUGACUCC
rnacentral:ncRNA from 1 species